rnacentral:lncRNA from 1 species
CAAAAACAGGAACCGCUUCUUCAAUCCUCUCCUGAAUUCCCUAUGGAUACAUGAAGAGGCUGAUUAUUCCGUUGAUUAAAAAAAAAAAAAAAGGAAUCUCCAAAUUACAAAAGCAUUCACAAUGGCAUCUGUAUUCUAUAGGCUCUUUCAGGUUGCAAGAGCAAGGGAGACCAAUCGUGCUUCCCUCAUUAAUGGGGAUUUAUUGUAAGGACAAACAGUACGAGGUCUAGCAGCUGCACACCCAGCCAGGCUCCGCUGGGAACUCAUCACUGCUUGUUAUUGUCCUGGAUAAACCUGUGGCUCUCACAGCCAGGCAGCUGCUCUCCUGACUUAACUGCUUACCCUCUCUGUGCCUUGGGUCCUUCACGUCUAAAAUGGAGAUAAUAAUAAUACCUCAUUGGGUUCUUGUGAGGAUUAACUAAGUUGACAUGUGUAAAGCCCUUACAAGGGUAUCUAGGGCAUAGUAAAUGCUAGAAGAUGUUAGCUAUCAUGAUUAAUUCAGUGCAAUCCGACAGGUCUCCUUGAAUGGGAAAGCUCUGACUCCUCUGACGGAUAGAGGAAAGAAUCCUGGACCAAAAAUAUAUAUAUUUAUAUCACAGAGAAGACUUUGAAAGGAGGAACAAACAAGAUAAAAUGGCUGGAAACCUCAGAACUUGAGAAACAACCUGGAAGUGAGCUUCCUGAGUAUUUUGUUGCCUCAUAAAUACCUUGGCCUGGGUGCUAGAGAAGGCCACUAUAUUAGUCCAUUCUCAUGCUGCUAUGAAGAAAUACCCAAGACUGGGUAAUUUAUAAAGGAAAGAGGGUCAAUUGACUAACAGUUCCACAUGGCACGGGAGGCCUCAGGAAACUUAUAAUCAUGGCAGAAGGAGAAGGAAACAUGUCCCUCUUCACAUGGCAGCAGGAGAGAGAAGUGCCAAGCAAAAAGGGGAAAAGCCCCUUUUAAGCCCCACUUAGUUGAUGGUUUUAACAUCAAAUCUUGUGAGAACUCACUCACUAUUACAAGAACAGCAUGAGGAUCACCCCCAUGAUUCAAUUACCUCCCACCAGCUUCCUUCCAUGACACGUGGGGUUUAUGAGAACUACAAUUCAAGAUGAAAUUUGAGUGGGGACACAACCAAACCAUAUCAUUCCACCCUGGUCCCUCCCAAAUCUCAUGUACUCACAUUUCAAAACACAAUCAUGCCCUUCCAACAGUCCCCAAAGUCUUAAAUCAUUCCAGCAUUACCUCAAAAGUCUGCAAUCCAAAGUCUCAUCUGAAACAAGGCAAGUCUCUUCUGCCUAUGAGCCUGUUAAAUCAAAAGCAAGUUAGUUACUUCCUAGAUACAAUGGGGGUAUAGGCAUUGGGUAAAUACACUCAUUCCAAAUGGGAGAAAUUGGCCAAAACAAAGGGGCUACAGGUCCCAUGCAAGUCCGAAAUCCAAUAGGGCAGUCGUUAAAUCUUAACGUUCCAAAAUGAUCUCCUUUGACUCCAUGUUUACAUCCAGGGCAUGCUGAUGCAAGAGGUGGGCCCCCACAGCCUUAGGCAGCUUCACCUCUGUGGCUUUGCAGGGUACAACUUCCAUCCUGGCUGUUUUCAUGGGCUGGCAUUGAGUGUCUGUGGCUUUUCCAGGCACACAGUGCAAGCUGUCAGCAGAUCUAUCAUUGUGGAGUCUGGAGGAUAGUGGCCUUCUUCUCACAGAUCCACUAGGCAGUGCCCCAGUGGGGACUCUGUGAGGGGUCUCCACCCCCCACAUUUCCCUUUUGCACUGCCCUAGCAGAUGUUCUCCAUGAGGACUUUGCCCCUGCAGCACACCUCUGCCUGGACAUCCUCCACACGUAAGCUGCCAAGGCUUGGGGCUUGCACCCUCUGAAGCAAUGGCCUGAGCUGCACAUUGGCCCCUAUUAGCCAUGGCUGGAGCUUCAGCAGCUGGGAUGCAGGGCACCAUGUCUCUAGGCUGCACAGAGCACGGGGGCCCUGGACACAGCCCAGGAAACCAUUUUUCCCUCCUAGGCCUCUGGGCCUGUGAUGAGAGGGGCUACUUUGAAGGUCUCUGACAUACCCUGGAGACAUUUUCCCCAUUGUCUUGGUGAUUAACAUUUGGCUCCUCAUUACUUGUGCAACUUUCUGCAGCUGGCUUGAAUUUCUCCCCAGAAAAUGGGUUUUUCUUUUCUACUGUAUUGUAAAGCUGCAAAUUUUCCAAACUUUUAUGAUCUGCUUCCUCUUGAAUGCUUUGCCACUUAGAAAUUUCUUCCACCAGAUACCCUAAAUCAUCUCUGUCAAUUUCAAAGCUCCACAGAUCUCUAGGGCAAGGGCAAAAUGCUGCCAGUCUCUUUGCAUAGCAAGAAUCACCUUUAUUUCAGUUCCCAAGUUCCUCAUCUCCACCUGAGGCCACCUCAGCCUGGACUUCAUUGUCCAUAUCACUAUCAGCAUUUUGGUCAAAGCCAUUCACUAAGUGUCUAAGAAGUUCCAAACUUUCCCAUAUUUUCCUGUCUUCUGAGCCCUCCAAGUUGCUAGGAAGUUCCAAACUUUCCCAUAUUUUCCUGUCUUCUUCUGAGCCCUCCAAACUGUUCCAACCUCUUCCUGUUACCCAGUUCCAAAGUUGCUUUCACAUUUUGAGGUAUCUUUACAGCAGCAUCCCACUCUCUGUGGUACCAAUUUACUGUACUAGUCCAUUCUCAUGCUACUGUGAAGAAAUACCCAAGGCUGGGUAAUUUAUAAAGGAAAGAGGUUCAAUUGACCUACAAUUCCACAUGGCUGGGGGAGGCCUCAGGAAACUUACAAUCAUGGUGGACAAAUACAUCCUUCUUCACAAGGUAUCAGGAGAGAAGAGUACCAAGCAAAAGAGGGAAAAGCCCCUUAUAAAACCAUCAGAUCUCACGAGAACUCACCAUCACGAGAACAACAUAAGGGUAAUCGCCCCCAUGAUUCAAUUACCUGCCACUGGGUCCCUCCCACAACAUGUGGGGAUUAUGAGAACUACAAUUCAAAAUGAGAUUUGGGUGGGACACAGCUAAACCAUAUCAGCCACAAUCUAGAAACACCAGUAGUCACCGACAGAAAAUAGCCCCCAAGAAAAGUCAGCUUUCUCUAGCCAGAGGAUGAGGAAAGAGGCAGCCCAAAGACAAAAACCCUUUAAUCAUAUCUGCCUGUUCUUUGGUUGAAUACCAAGCAAACACCAUAUGUCUCCCCCACCACAAUGGCACUGCAGUGGCAGAACCAGUGGGCAGAGCAUCGUAUUCUGCCCUGCUCUUCACAGUAACAAGAAGGUGCUCCUUCCUCCAGGGUCUGUGGGCAGAACUCUGACUUCUACAUGUCCUUUGAAGGAAUGGGCAUGACUCCUCCCUGCAUAAUCUUUGGGAAUAACUAUGACUUCAAGCCUUUUCCUGGAGGUGAAAGGAAGAUGCUGCUUGCCCACAGAGUCUAUGUGUAGAGCUCUAACUUAUAAUCCCCACUUCAGUAAUGUGGAGGUAACCAUCACCAGCUGAAUCAGUAGGUAAAAUCUUGUCUUCUAAAGUCUUCCAGGUAGUAAAGAGUGGCACCCCUCCAACUAUCCAGCUAGUGCUAAAAGACUGUGGGAUGCAGUGCUGUCAUCUGGGUAACACAGAAAUGGAGGAGAUCAGAAGUGUAGCAUGGUAAAGUCUUACUAAAUUAGGCUAAUAUUUGCACUGCAACUCACAAAAAGAGUGUCAGGAUAUGCAUUUUGAACCUCGACAGUUUGCUAAAGUAGAAUAUUUAAUAGGAACCAGAGUCUUAAAACAACAUUCAAAAUGUCCAGGAUACAUUCCAAAUUACUGGUCAUACCAAGAACUAAGAAAAUCUAAAUUCAAAUGAGAAAAGAUGAUCAAUAGACGCUAAUGCCAAGAUGACACAGAUAUUGUAAUUGUCUGAAUGUGGUUUUCAAGAAGCUGUCAAAAAGUGUUUUAACAAGCAAUUAUGAAAACUUUUGGAACAAAAGAAAAAUUAAAAAAUAUCAUCAAAGAAAUAGAAGAUGUGGUAGGGCAUGGUGGCUCAUGCCUAUAAUCCUAACACUUUGUGAAGCCAAGGCAGGAGGAUCAUUUGAGUUCUGGAGUUUAAGAUGAGCCUUGGCAACAUAGUGAGACCUCAUCUCUAUAAAAUUUUUUAAAAAUUAGCCAGAUAUGGUGGCAUGUGUCUGUGGUUUCAGAUACCUGGGAGGCUGAGGUGGGAGGACUGCUUGAGCCUGGGAGUCAGAGGCUACAGUGAGCUAUGAUUGCACCACUGCACUCCAGCCUGGAUGACAUAUGCGAGACCAUGUCACAAAAAAAGAAAAAAAAAGAUAUAAAGAAGAAUAAAAUGUAAAUUUUAUAACUGAAAAAUACAAUAACCUAAAUUUAAAAACAUUUACUAGGUGGGCACAAUAGCAGACUAGAGAUGGCCAGGAAAGAAUCAGUGAACCUGGGAGCCCCUCUGAAUAUAUCCUGGUUUUGGAGCUGCCCAGUGGAAAAAAAAAAGAAUCAGUGAACUUUAAGACAAAUAAACAGGAAGUGUUCAAUUUAAAAAACAGGAAGAAAAUGAAUUGAACCCUAUACACCAAUGAGAUAAUAACAAUUCAUCUAACAUUUCUGUCAUCAAAGUUCUAGAAGAAGGGAAAAAAGAAUGCAAGACUGAAAAAUACCUAAAGAAAUAAUGGCUAAAAACUUCCUAAAUGUGAUGAAAGUCACAAACUUACAUAUUCCAGAAGCUGAGAAAACCCCAAACACAGUAAACCCAAAGAGAUCAACACCCAAAUACAUCACUGUCAAAACUGUGAAAACUUAAGACAAAAGAAAAAAUCUUGAAAGCAGUUAGAAGAAAAUGACAAUACCUACAGGGCAACAAUGAUUCAAAUAAUAGCAGAUUACCCAUCAGAAAUCACAGGGCCAAAGGAAGUGGUACAACAUUUUUAAGUGAUGAAAGAAAAGAAUCGUCAACCCAGAAUUCUAUAUCCAGUGAAAAUAUCCUUCAAGAAUAAGAAGAAUCAAUGCAUUUGAAGACUUAAAACAACAAAACAACAACUAAGGGUAUUUAUCACCGGCAGAAUAAAAGAAUAGCUAGAAGAAAUAGUUUGUACAGAAAGAAAAUGAUAACAGAACUAAGAACUUAGUUCUGUUGCAACUAAGAACAUCAGAUAUGAAGAAAGAUGUAAAGAAUAAAUAUAAGUUUAAUAAAUAAUUUUUUCCUUGUGAUUUAAAAAAUGUGUUUAAUAGUUAAAAGCAAAACUUAUGAUAAUGUCUGCUUUGGUUCUCAAUGAAUGUAGAAUAUUUUCAGACAACUAUAAAGGGAGAGAGUAAAAUGACCUAAAUUGUGGUGAUGCAUCCAUAUUCCACAGGAAGUAGGAAAAUCUUGAUAGUAGUAGACUAUUAAUUGUAACCCCUAGAACAACGGCUUAAAAAAAAACUGUGAAGCAACACACUCAAGAGUUAUAUUGUAGAUAAAUCAGAAAACUAAAGUAGUGCUCAAGUAGUCCACAAGAAGACUGGAAAGGAGAAACAGAGAAAUAAAAAAAAGAAGAAGCAAACAAAAUAAGUUAAAAAAUGGCAUCCAUAAAUUAUAAAAUAUUAAUCAUUACCUUAAAUCUAAAUGGUCCAAAAACACCAAUUAAAAGACAACAAUUGAUAAAAGGAUUUUUAAAAAAUGACCAACUAUAUGCUGUCUACAAAACUCACUUUAAGCAUAGCAAUAGAGGUAUGUUAGAGGUGAAAGGAAUAGAAAAAUUAUACCAUGCAAACAACUAAUCAAAAGAAAGUUGAAGAGGCUAUGUUAAUACUAGAUGAAGUGGACUUCAGAACAAAGAAAAUUACCAGGGACAAAACAAGGCAUUACAUAACGAUAAAAGGGUCAACUCAUGAACAGAAUAUAACAAUCUUAAAUGUAUAUGUACCAACGCACACUGGGCUUCAAAAUACAUGAAGCAAAAACUCACAGGAAUGAAAGGAUAAAUAAACAAAUCUACAAUUAUAAUUGAGGACUUCAACAACCCUUUGCUAAAAAUUGGUAGAAACACUAGACAAAAUGUCAGCAAGGACUUAAAAGAAUUGAACAAUAUCAAUUAAUAAAAUCUAAUUGAUAUUCAUAAGAACACUUCACCCAACAACAGCUGAAUACACAUUCUUUUUAAGUAUGCAUGAGAUAUUCACAAGAUUCCAGGUCUUAGAUUAUAAAAUAAACCUUAACAAAUUCAAAAUAAUUGAGAUCAUAAAAAGUAUAUUCUCUGAUCAUAAUGGAAUCAAACUAGAAUACCACAAUAGAAAGAUAUCAGAAAAGUCUCCAAACACUUGAAAAUCAAGCACCCUAUGUCUAAAUAAUUUACAUGUCAAAGAGAAAGAGGUUAGGGAAAGGGGAGAUGAGAGGAUGGUGGGUUGGUUAUAAAAGGGCAACAGAAGGGUUCUCUGUGGUAUUGGAACUGUUCGGUAUCUUGACUGUGAUGGUGGAUACAGGAACCUACAAAGGUGACAAAAUUGUUUAAUAUUUAAUACACACACACAAGUACACAUGCAAUGAGUACAAGUAAAACCAGAAAAAUCUACAUAAUAUCAAUGGGUUUUAUUAAUGUCAAUAUCAUGGUUGUAAAAUUAUACUAUGUUUUGGAGAAUAUUAUCACUGGGGGGAAUCUGGGCAAAGUAUAUAAGGGCUAUAUCUCUCUGUAUUAUUUCUUAACCACUGCAUGUAAAUCUGUGGGAUAUAGCUAAAGCACUGCUUAGGGGAGAUUUAUAGCAAUAAAAAGCUCAUCCUUUAACCCAAGUUGCCACUAAUUUUUGCUCAGAAAGCUCUGACUGCAAAACUAUGAAAAUAUUAGCUGUAUUAGUCGUAUUCUAGACAAAUAGAUCAUAGAUUUAAAUGUGAAAUGUAAAAUGAUACAACUUUUAGAAGAAAACAGGUGAAACUUUUGGUGAUCUAGGGUUAGGUGACCAGUUAGACAUGACAUCAAAAGCAUGAGUCAUAAAAGAAAUAAUGAAUUAUAGUAGGUCAAAAUUUAAAAUGUUUGUCUGCAAAAUACACUACAAAGAGGAUGAAAAAACAAGCCAAACACUGGGAGAAAAUAUUUGCAAAUUAUAUAUCCAAUAAAGCCCUCGAAUCCAGAAUACGUAAAGAAAAUUCUAAACUCAACAGUGACUCAAACAAGCCAAUUAGUAAUUGUGUAAUUAGAAGGAUGUGGACAGGCACUUUACCAAAGGAGAUAUGUGGGUGGCAAAUAAAUACAUCAAAAGCUAUUUAACAGCAUUAUUAUACUGGGCAGAAUAAUGGUCUCCAAAAGAUUUCCACCCCUUAGUUCCUGGAGCCUGUGAAUACGUUGUCUUACUUAGCAAAAGAGACUUUAGAGAUGUGAUUGAGGUUAAGAUGAUCCCAGUCUAAUCAUAUGAGUCCUUAAAAG